CCUACGGGUGGCAGCAGUGGGGAAUAUUGGGCAAUGGGCGCAAGCCUGACCCAGCAACGCCGCGUGAAGGAAGAAGGCUUUCGGGUUGUAAACUUCUUUUCUCAGGGACGAAGCAAGUGACGGUACCUGCGGAAUAAGCCACGGCUAACUACGUGCCAGCGGCCGCGGUAAUACGUAGGUGGCAGGCGUUAUCCGGAUUUACUGGGUGUAAGGGGCGUGUAGGCGGGAAAGCAAGUCAGAUGGGAAAACCAUGGGCUCAACCUGUGACCUGCAUUUGAAACUGUUUUUCUUGAGUACUGGAGAGGCAGACGGAAUUCCUGGUGUAGCGGUGAAAUGCGUAGAUAUUAGGAGGAACACCAGUGGCGAAGGCGGUCUGCUGGACUGCAACUGACGCUGAGGCGCGAAAGCGUGGGGAGCAAACAGGAUUAGAUACCCGAGUAGUC
rnacentral:rRNA from 1 species